rnacentral:misc_RNA from 1 species
AACCUAGCACACCUGCGGUGUGUACCUGCGGAAGGAUCAUUACCGAGUUUACAACUCCCAAACCCCUGUGAACAUACCUAUACGUUGCCUCGGCGGAUCAGCCCGCGCCCUGUAAAAAGGGACGGCCCGCCCGAGGACCCUAAACUCUGUUUUUAGUGGAACUUCUGAGUAAAACAAACAAAUAAAUCAAAACUUUUAACAACGGAUCU